UUAAAUUCGUUGAAGAGAAAGAGUAAGUUAGUUUAAUAUCUCACAGAGAGUCGAUGUUAGCUGAGAAUCGAUGGUCAUGAAUUAACUGAAAAUCAUCUCGAAGAAGUAAGGCUGAAAUAAAAGUAAGUCUUAUCGGGUCUCUUUUCCCGUUAUCAAAUAAAGUCAUUAAAGCCUGAUAAAAGGUGAGAUGAGUAGAGUGCUAUAGUCUUUUUUAGAUUAUAGAAUUUGGGUGGUACCACGGAGAAUUUUCGUCCCUUGA
rnacentral:ncRNA from 1 species